AGCUCCAGUGGCUAGUGGUUAGAGCGUCCGCCUCAGAUGCGGUAGGUCGCGGGUUCGAUACCCGGUCGAGUUA